GCCUAUGGUCAUGGCACCCUGAACACACAUGAUCUCAUCUGAUCUCAGUUGCUAAGCAGGGUCAGGCCUGGUUAGUACUUGGAUGGGAGACCACCUAGGAAGACCAGGUACUGUAGGUG
rnacentral:rRNA from 1 species